rnacentral:rRNA from 1 species
UGAUCCUACGGGGGGCAGCAGUGGGGGGUAUUGCACAAUGGGGGAAACCCUGAUGCAGCAACGCCGCGUGAAGGAAGAAGGUCUUCGGAUUGUAAACUUUUGUCUUGUGGGAAGAUAGUGACGGUACCACAGGAGGAAGCUCCGGCUAACUACGUGCCAGCAGCCGCGGUAAUACGUAGGGAGCGAGCGUUGUCCGGAUUUACUGGGUGUAAAGGGUGCGUAGGCGGCUAGACAAGUCAGGUGUGAAAUACCGCAGCUCAACUGCGGGGCUGCACUUCAAACUGUAGAGCUUGAGUGAUGGAGAG